GUUAUAUCUAUUUAGCCUCUCUCCCUCCCCACCUUCUGUUUCGUCGUUCCUUGAGGAUUGUCUCUAAUGCUCUUCUUCCUCGCUUUGAAUCUUUAUCAGAAUGUGUGGAUGAUACAUGCAGAUCCAGUCAAUUCAUUUAGGAGCAGGUAUGAAGAUUCCCGAUAGCAAACCACUCAAAUUUGCACUUCAGUGCAUCAAUGGAAUUGGCCAAGCGAGAGCAAACCAAGUUCUUGCCCAGCUUCCUUGGAAAACAAGCUUGCCAAAGAUAUUACUAAAAGAGAGCUCCUUGUUCUUGCAGACCAGAUUUCCAAGUACACGGUUGGACAUGAGCUGGAUAAAUGUGUUCAAAGGGACAUUGCUAGGUUGCAGGAAAUUCAGUGCCAUAGAGGGAUUAUUACCAUGUAGAGGCCAACGAACGAAGACUAAUGCUAGGACUAUGAAGUCGAAACAGACCCAUGUUGGAAAGAGGAAAACCUUUUGUUGAGCAAAUGGUUUUGCAGUUUCUCCUCUCUUCUUGCGUUCUUGAACUGAUUGAUUAUAAACAUAUUUGGAUUCCACCAAGUUUCAUUAUUUCUCUUAUUACUCCCAAAUUGUCUGAUAUUUUGUUUAGUGCUCAUUUAGUGAAGAAUUCAUUAUUGGAUGGGGAUGAACGACUUUAUAAACGUUUCAAGUGUUUGUAACCAAUGAAAACUGCUUAACAAUUUUAUGUCCA